GAAACAAUACUAAUGAUAAAUAAAUUUAAGGAAAUUUGCUUCCUUAAAGCAUAAAGACUAAUUUGCUGAUGGUGGUAAAAACUUUGGAAAAUCACAUAGAAAAACCAAGUCUCUUGGACAAGUCAGCAUCAAGCUAUCCUAUUAUUGACCCUUUCAUUAUUCUCAUUGCCAUGGUGUAGAAAAGGGAAGGGUUUCUGCAGGAGUGGAAAAAUUCUAAUAUUAUUGCUUAUAAAUCUGAGUGAAUAAUUUGAAUGCAUGUGUCCCUCAUAAAAUCUCUAAAGAUUCUUCCAGUCAGUAACAGUUUCAAUUCCUUAAAGUUAUACCAAAAACGUCCACAGCUCAAAAAUGUCCACAGCUAUUAAAAUGAGGGUUAGGUGAGGUGUGAAUAGAACCUGUAUCCAUAUGCAGGCAUUCUAUAUUAGUCAGGGUUCUCCAGAGAAACAGAAAUGAUGGAUAUAUAUUUAGAGUGGUAUGUAUUAUCAUCAUCUCUCAGUAUACACAUGGGAGAUUGAUUCCAGGACUUCCUGAGUAUACAAAAAUCUGCACAUACUCAAGUCCCACAGUGAUCCUGCGGAACUCAUAUAUAUUAAAAAAAAUUGUCCCUUUGAAUACACAGUUUUUGCAUCCCUUGAAUACCGUAUUUCCAAUCUUCUUUUGGUUCGAAAAUAAUAUGUGUAUAAGUGGAUGUGGACAGUUCCAAGCCAUGUUCAAGGGUCAACUAUAUAAGAAAUUGACUCAUGUGAUUAUGAAGGCCGAGAAGCCUCACAAUCUUCCAUCUGAAGUUGGAGAUCCAGGAAAGCUGGUAGUGUAAAUUCUAGUCUAAGUCCAAAGGCCUGACAACCUGGAGAAUCACUGGUAUAAGUACCAGUCAAAGGGCAAGAGCAGACUGAUAUCUCAGUUCAGGCAGUCAUACAGAGAGGGAAUUCGACCCUCCUCUGUGUUUUUGUUCUAUUUGAGCUCUGAAGGGGUUGGAUGAUGUCCACUCACACUUGGGAGGGCAAUCUUCUUUCCUCAGUCCACCAAUUUAAAUGCUUAUCUCUUCUGAAAAUAUCUUCACAGACAUAUCCAGAAAUACUGUUUUACCAAGUUUCUGGGCAUCCCUUUGGCCCAGUAAAGAUGAUGCAUACAAUUAAUUAUCAUAUGUCCACUUUCACAGUGAAUAGCCAUCAAACCCUUGUAUGUUAUUCAUCUCGCUGGGCCUUUUAUCAUGUUUGUUACAAAUCCAAAAGCAAUAACAUGACAGAAGUUUAAGUGAUGUCCAAACAUAGCAGCAUCUGUCAGGAAGAAAAAAAAUGUGACAAUAGAAUGUGUAAAAGGGGAUGUGGGAUGGGAUUAAAAUGAGGAAAGAAAGAAUAGAUAAGAGUCUGGUGAAGGAAAGCUUACACAUUGCAUCUCAGUUUCUGACCACUGCUGCCAAGGCAGAUAGGCAACAUCUAUUCUCCACCCUGAUGUCAAGCAUCAUUAUUUUCAGAGGUUGAUAGCAGGUGAGAGAUGUGUUCUAAUUUGCAGAAUAAGAAGGCUAUCACACAUACAAGUUAUACAACAAGUUAGAUGCUGGAGAGUCAUCAAUGUCCUAGUAAUACUACAUAAUUCAUGUAAUCAGUUUCCUUAAUUGGAUUCUAUUAUCUCACUGAAUUAUGUCAGAAAGUGUUAAUGUGGAAAAAUCCAUCAAUAAAUCCAUCUGAAAACUUUUGAUGACUAAGGGAUCAGAAAAAUAUCUAGAGCCAUAGUAUUUGGUAGCUGUACCAUUUCAACAGUGGGAGUUCACAUGAGCAAUCUGCCAAAGAGGUUGUUAGAAAUAAAAACCCAACCCUCAUCAGUUUCCUGAAUAUGGAUCUCCAUUUUAACAGAUCCCCAGCUGAAUCAUGUAUAUUAACGAUUGAAAUGCACUUGUUUAGAACGCUAACUAUGGAGUCAGUUUUUUUUUGUGUAUGUUUAAAUACUAGCUUUGACACUUGUUAAAUGGAUAACUUUGGGCAAAUUCUUAAACUCUGUCUCAGUUUCUUCAUAUUGCGAAUGAGGUACAAAUUGGAUGUACUUUCAGGGUCAUUGUGAUGGUUAAAUUAGUUAGUGCAUAUUACAGAUUGAGUAUCCCUUAUUCAACAUGCUUAGGACCAGAAGUGUUUUGAAUUUUGGACUUUUUUUUUCAGAUUUUGAAAUACUUGCAUAUAUACAAAAUAAGAUAUCUUGAGGAUGGUAUCCAAGUAUACUCAGGAAACUCAUUAUGUCUUAUAUACACCUUGUAUGCAUAGUCUGAAGCUGAUAUUAUACAAUAUUUAUAAUAAUUUUGUGGAUGAAACAAAGUAUGGGUACACUGAACCAUUAGGAAGCAAAGGUGUCACUACCCCAUCAACACAUGUGGAUAAUCUGUGGCUGUCUGGCAUCACCGUCAUUCCUGACUCUGAAUUGACAUGCUACCAAAAUCAAUUUUUUAUAAUUGGUGGUAAAAAUAUGACAUACCAUUAAUAUAGUGGAAAACAGUAUUUUCAGGGCAAUGAAGCAGCACAGCAGCAUCACCAGAAUACCUGUAUCAGCUGUUAAACAACAGCAAUAACAAGCAAUGGUAGUCUUUCAGUCUCCACUUACAAUGCUGUGUUUUGACUCAAGGUUAACUAUAUGCUAUAUGCUACAUUUUACUUUUUUUUUUUUUUUUUGAUGAGAAGAAACAUCCGAAGCAUAGAAGAAGUGAGUCCUUUAGGAAUAAGAAGGCAUUUUGUUGCAUGAAUUUUUAAAAUGUUUCCUGCAGACUCAUCUGCCUCAUUAACAAUGGCUUUCACUCAGUGGUCUCUCUUUGAUUGUAUAAACUGACAUAAUUUCUUGUUGUUACAAAUGCAUGCUGUUCAACCACACGUUUUCACUGUGUCAUUUAUAGGCACUUUUUCUGCAGUAUUAACAUCAUCUUCAUCAUCACUAUUAUCAUAAUCAGCUUGAUUCAGAAUCAUUUCAGCUAUAUUACCAUUGGUCAAUGAAUGAAUAACUGGAGCCUCAUUAAUGAUGUUAAAAUAUUCUUUGAUAUCUAUUUCUUUCAGCUUAUUGAUGGAUUUUGAAGGUAUAUGUUUUAGAUAUGUAAGGAGGUCAGAUAUCAUUUCUUUUCACUUGAUAUACAAAAUCCUUCAAAGUCACCACCUUGCUCAUCAUCAUCACUGAACAUAGACACAGGCUGGAGGUUGUGCCAGGCACGCACAACUGUGUCUCCAGUCAUUGUGUUCUAAGUGUUGGCAACAGCAUAUUUGGCAAAAAUAUGCUAAAUUUCAUGAUAAACUCCUUUUGAAAACCUUCCCUAUCCAUCAUCUGUUCACUGCUGCUAGCAUGCUGUUCAAAAAUUGUUUUUAUAUUUCUGUUUGUUGCUGUAAGGAUACCCUGGUUACAUGGAUGAAUUAAUAAAAUCACCUUUUGGGGAAAGUACAUGAAAUAAACCUUUUUUAAAUGAGAAUUUUAGCUGGAGAAUGAGCAGACUGUUUUCAAGGAAUAACAAAGUCUUACAGUUGUCACCUAGUCCAGCUUCCCUGCAAUGAGCAUGAGACAAUGGUACAAAAUAUUUGUGAAACCAAUCAGAAAAGAUGUUGCUGGUGGUCUAUGCCUCUUUGUUACCAUAAUAAUGGACUGAUAAAAGUUCACCCCUUGAAAAUAGGGAGAAUACAAGCUUUUGCCUAUCAGAGCAAAUUUACAUUUAUGCAUGCCUACUAAAUUAGCACAUCCCGGCACAGUUAUCCUGUCUUUGGCAUUCUUAAUUACUGUAGGGGCUGUCUAAUUAGCUGUAGUUAAUGUCUUUCUGGGACAAUAAUGCCAGAACAGAGAUGUGUAAUCAGCAUUACAGAUUUGUUCUGGCAUCAGAUUUUCAUCAGCGAUAACCUUGGCAAACUUGUCAAUUAAUUUCCCCACUGCUUCAUGAUCAGCAGAUGAUUUAUACCACAAAUAUUUAAAAAUUUAAUGUUGUGUCUUUUCAGAAGUUUCUGCAACCAGCCCAUUGAAUUUUCACAAUUUCCAUUAAUUUUCAGUUCAUAGCAACAGAUCUUUCUUUGUUUUAUGAUUAGCGUACCAUUGAGUGGCAUGUGUUCACUGUGAUGUUAACAGGUCAAUUCUAGCAAUACACAAUAGGGAUCUUCAUUUUUAACUUUAAGUUUAUAAAAUGUUUUAUAAACUUAUGUUCAUUAUUUUCAGCAUACACCUUCAAGAGUUUAUUCUUCUGUUUCUUCAGGUCAUGUUUGGUGAUCAUUCUACUACCCUACUCUUCUUUUAAGACUCAUACCACUGUUCAGGUUCUCCAACAGCUUGACUUUUUAGCUGUAAAUAGACAUAAUCCUUCCCCUUUUCCUAAUGACUGUUCCCCAUGUGGUGUCUGCAGACCUUUUUGACAUUUUCAGCAAUAUUUUUACACCAUAAAGCAGGUAAUAAGCAAAAAAAAAAAAAAAAAAAAAAAAAAAUCACAGUGAGUAAAGCUCGUAGAUCUUGGCUUCAUGUAGGGCAUUGUUGAAAAUCUGCCUUUGAUAUGUCCAUCUUGGACACGUACCAUAUAAUAGCCCUUUUUGGAUGGGAUGCUUAUAUGGAAAAUUCUGGGCAUGUGUAGAAAAGUUACAUUGCAACUGAGAGGGCUGAAAGGUCUUUUUUUUUUUUUUUUCCUUUUGAGGAUACUGAAUAAAAUGUGUGUUGUGUCACUGCAUUUUGACUGAAACCUGUCAAAUGAGAUAGGGUGUGGAAUUUUCCACUUGUGGCAUUACAUUGGCACUCAAAAAAUUUCAGAUUUUGGAGCAUUUCAGAUUUUGGAGCAUUUCAGAUUUUUGGAUUAAGGAUGCUCAACCUGUAAGUAAUUUUAAAAGUGCCUGUCAUACUGUAAAUGCCAAAUAAGAAUUUAUCGUGCUUAUCACAUAUGGUUCACCUAUUUUAUUCUCAGACAUAAAACUGUUUUAUCCUUUAGUAAAAACUUACUAAAUAACUACAAAUUACUUUAUUCUGUGGAUGGUCAAUUUUAAUAUAAAUAUAUCACUGUUCUUUACUCUGUAUUGACUGACUAUUUUUAUAUACACUGGCUCUUAAUACCUGUUAUAGUAUUAUUGGAGGAUAGAAUGAUCAUCAUUGAGAUUAUGAAGUGUCAAAACAUGAUAAAAUGCUUACCUUAAAUAACGUAAAAGGAACAUGGUGUCUCUAAUGAGUCUGUGACUUUAGGUGAAGAGGUUAUAAAACACAAUAUUAGUAGCAUAGGUUAAGUACUAUUAGCUACAUUUGAAAAAAGGUGUAGUGAAAAAAGGUGAUGAAAAAAGCUACAUCAGAAAAAUAGUAGCCAUUUCUCAAGCAGAAAUUAAAAGGAUAGAGAGAGUCCAGAAAUGUAGUAUUGGUUGGUCUGGAAAGGAAACUUCUCAACGUGGAUUAAAACACGAUCUCCAUAGAAUUGAUCAAAUCAGGGAUGUUGCAUUAAUCUAGUUACAUUCUCUGUGUAUAAAGGUGGUGUUCAGUGAUGCCCAGAGAGAAUCAGCUAAUGCUUUAGCUAACUUCUGGAAACCUGAGAGGUUCAAGAUACACACAAUUAAGUCUAGAAAGGUAGGCAUAUGACUAAAAGGAUUAUGAAUUUCACUACAGUACAUGGAGUUUACUAGAAUUAAGUAGAUAAUUGACACAAAAAAUGUUUAAAAUACCUAGGAAUACAGCUAAUUGGGAUUCAAAAGAUCUCUACAAUGAGAAUUAUAAAACACUGCUCAAAGAAAUC
rnacentral:lncRNA from 1 species